rnacentral:misc_RNA from 1 species
AAGUUACUAUACUGGAACUUUUAACACAGUCAAUCGCUCUCCUGAUGGAAACUAUGUUGCUGUCUCAAGCCGUGGUAACUUCUAUUUGACAUGGGAACCUGGACAACCAUUUUGGCAGCCGCAUAACAGAGCAGUUGCAAGAAGAAUUCAAAACAUGGGAUGGAGAGCUGAUGGUGGUCUUUGGCUUCUUGUCCGUGGAGGGGGGCUUUAUCUCAGUAAAGGCUCAGGAAUAACAGAGGAUUUUGAAGAAAUUCCAGUACAAAGUCGGGGUUUUGGCAUUCUCGAUGUUGGGUACCGUUCAAAGGAUGAGGCUUGGGCAGCAGGUGGCAGUGGAAUUCUAUUAAGAACCACCAAUGGUGGUAAAACAUGGACUCGUGACAAAGCAGCUGACAAUAUUGCUGCAAAUCUCUAUUCAGUGAAGUUUAUUGACGAUAAAAAGGGAUUUGUGCUAGGAAACGACGGAGUCUUGCUUCGGUAUCUUGGAUAGAAAAGUUAAUGGUAGGAUUAUUUUUCUCCUCUUUACUUUUUUUUUUUCAUGAG